UACGAAGGGGGCUAGCGUUGCUCGGAAUCACUGGGCGUAAAGGGCGCGUAGGCGGCCUGAUCAGUCGGGGGUGAAAGCCUGUGGGCUCAACCACAGAAUGGCCUUCGAUACUGUCGGGCUUGAGACCGGAAGAGGUAAGUGGAACUGCGAGUGUAGAGGUGAAAUUCGUAGAUAUUCGCAAGAACACCAGUGGCGAAGGCGGCUUACUGGUCCGGAUCUGACGCUG
rnacentral:rRNA from 1 species